rnacentral:rRNA from 1 species
GACGAACGCCGGCGGCGUGCUUAACACAUGCAAGUCGAGCGGUAAGGCCCUUUCGGGGGUACACGAGCGGCGAACGGGUGAGUAACACGUGGGUGACCUGCCCUCAGCUCUGGGAUAAGCCUGGGAAACCGGGUCUAAUACCGGAUAUGACUCCAUGACGCAUGUUGUGGGGUGGAAAGCCUUGUGCGGCUGAGGAUGGGCCCGCGGCCUAUCAGCUUGUUGGUGGGGUGAUGGCCACCAAGGCGACGACGGGUAGCCGGCCUGAGAGGGCGACCGGCCACACUGGGACUGAGACACGGCCCAGACUCCUACGGGAGGCAGCAGUAGGGAAUAUUGGACAAUGGUGCAAGCCUGAUCCAGCCAUGCCGCGUGCAGGAAGAAAGCCUUCUGGGUUGUAAACUGC